GGGAUCUGUGAGAGGCAGGGCUGCAUCCAAGCAUGCUGCAGGUUCCAUCCAUCCGAUAACACAAGGGGCAGUGACUGUACAAGCUGGGAGCCGCUCACUUCAAUGUGAUGGACACAGACACAGGGAAGGAAGAAGAAAGAUGAAGAGCAAGAGGAGUGAGCCAUCCCCUGUUGCAAGAAAAAGAAAAGCCUUGGUGUUGGUGCUAGAAGCCUCCAGCACCCUGGGAGCCUCCUGGAGCAGAAGCUCUCUGCUCGCCACAUUGCAGCUGCAGGGACUUGUGCAGUAAGGACCCCAAACUUGUAGGUGGGAGAAUUAGAGGAGCCUAGACCCAGAGCUGGACCCAGGGCCUGCUGGUGAAUGGCCCUCCAAAUCUUAAGGCUCUCUUGAAGCACUUGCUGCUGCAGUGGGCAAUGGUCAAUCAACUGGCUCACCAAAUACCACAUGGGAUUACUGGUUAAUGCAGGGCCGAAGUAACCAGUGUCUGUGAA
rnacentral:lncRNA from 1 species